CGGAGGCAGCAGUGGGGAAUCUUCCGCAAUGGACGAAAGUCUGACGGAGCAACGCCGCGUGUAUGGUGAAGGUCUUCGGAUUGUAAAGUACUGUCUUUGGGGAAGAACGACUGACUUGAGAAAAUUGAGUGAGUAUGACGGUACCCAAGGAGGAAGCCCCGGCUAACUACGUGCCAGCAGCCGCGGUAAUAUGUAGGGGGCAAGCGUUGUCCGGAAUUAUUGGGCGUAAAGGGCGCGUAGGCGGAUUUUUAAGUCUGGUGUGAAAGAUCAGGGCUCAACCCUGAGAGUGCAUCGGAAACUGGAGAUCUUGAGGACAGGAGAGGAAAGUGGAAUUCCAGGUGUAGCGGUGAAAUGCGUAGAUAUGUGGAGGAACACCAGAGGCGAAGGCGACUUUCUGGACUGUAACUGACGCUGAGGCGCGAAAGCGUGGGGAGCAAACAGGAUUAGAUACCCUGGUAGU
rnacentral:rRNA from 1 species